rnacentral:rRNA from 1 species
GACGUAGGGCGCGAGCGUUGUCCGGAUUUAUUGGGCGUAAAGAGCUCGUAGGCGGCUUGUCGCGUCGAAUGUGAAAACCCACGGCUCAACUGUGGGCUUGCAUUCGAUACGGGCAGGCUAGAGUUCGGUAGGGGGAGACUGGAAGUCCUGGUGUAGCGGUGAAAUGCGCAGAUAUCAGGAGGAACACCGGUGGCGAAGGCGGGUCUCUGGGGCCGAUAUUGACGCUGAGGAGCGAAAAGCGUGGGGGAGCGAACAGG